UUUAAGAAGGUGGCGUAGUGGUUUGAGUGCUGGACUAUGACUCUGGAGACCUGGGUUCGAUUUUCUGCUCAGCCAUAAAA